CCUACGGGAGGCUGCAGUGAGGAAUAUUGGUCAAUGGGCGCUAGCCUGAACCAGCCAAGUAGCGUGAAGGAUGACUGCCCUCUGGGCUGUAAACUUCUUUUAUAUGGGAAUAAAGUGCAUUAUGUAAUCUGCUUUGCAUGUACCUUAUGAAUAAGGAUCGGCUAACUUCGUGCCAGCAGCCGCGGUAAUACGGUGGAUCCGUGCGUUAUCCGGAUUUAUUGGGUUUAAGGGGAGCGUAGGCGGGUUGUUAAGUCAGUUGUGAAAGUUUGCGGCUCAACCGUAAAAUUGCAGUUGAUACUGGCAUCCUGGAGUACAGUAGAGGUAGGCGGAAUUCGAGGUGUAGCAGUGAAAUGCUUAGAUAUCACGAAGAACUCCGAUUGCGAAGGCAGCCUGCUGGACUGUAACUGACGCUGAUGCUCGAAAGUGUGGGUAUCAAACAGGAUUAGAUACCCCAGUAGUC
rnacentral:rRNA from 1 species